GCCGAUGUAGCUCAGCGGUAGAGCAACCGCCUUGUAAGCGGUAAAUAGCGAUUUAACCGACCCUA
rnacentral:tRNA from 2 species